AUUGAACGCUGGCGGCAGGCCUAACACAUGCAAGUCGAACGGUAACAGGAAGCAGCUUGCUGCUUUGCUGACGAGUGGCGGACGGGUGAGUAAUGUCUGGGAAACUGCCUGAUGGAGGGGGAUAACUACUGGAAACGGUAGCUAAUACCGCAUAACGUCGCAAGGCCAAAGAGGGGGACCUUAGGGCCUCUUGCCAUCGGAUGUGCCCAGAUGGGAUUAGCUAGUAGGUGGGGUAACGGCUCACCUAGGCGACGAUCCCUAGCUGGUCUGAGAGGAUGACCAGCCACAAUGGAACUGAGACACGGUCCAGACUCCUACGGGAGGCAGCAGUGGGGAAUAUUGCACAAUGGGCGCAAGCCUGAUGCAGCCAUGCCGCGUGUAUGAAGAAGGCCUUCGGGUUGUAAAGUACUUUCAGCGGGGAGGAAGGGAGUAAAGUUAAUACCUUUGCUCAUUGACGUUACCCGCAGAAGAAGCACCGGCUAACUCCGUG
rnacentral:rRNA from 1 species